rnacentral:siRNA from 1 species
AGAAAUCUAGAAUAUCGUGUUAUA